UGACGCAGACAACCAGGCUCUAUCCAUGAGAUAAGUGUCUUGUGGUAACCCACAAGACCUCCAUUUCACUGUGUUACCACAAAUUGGAUCAAAAGACUACUGAACCGGGUAACCGGAUGAUUGCAACUCCCUAAAUGCCCAGUACGCCCGCGGCCACAUCGACCAAUCACCACACCUAUGCUG